rnacentral:lncRNA from 1 species
CAACCCUGCAGAAUGUCUGCCGUGAGCGAGACCUGGAAACAAUGGGGUAAUUAGUCCAACCUAAGCCCAGUUGUCUGCUGGAGGCUCAGCCUCUAAGCUUGCAUCUGGGUGUCCACCUUGAGAUUUCUGUGGUUCCCCAAAACAACAGAUGGAUGGGUGGGUAAUCCUUGCAUUAAAAGCCAGUUCUGUCCCCUCAGGGCCUGGAAGCCCUUCUUCUCCUAACUCUGGUGGGGCUCAGGCACCACCCCUUAUACAUACCAUCUUUGAAGUCAGUUACCCAAGAGGAAGCUGCUUUAGGCCCUCUAACGGUUAAAUACCAACUCCCCGCUUCCGCAAGAAGGCACUGACCUGAUCCAGUGUGCCUAGAUCCCAUGGGGCCUGCAGCUUUCUGCUGGUGACAGCGAGGCAGGGAGCAAGGUCCACACAGGCCUCAAAGGAUAUGAACGGAUCCAUGCCCACCCCCCAUUGGCCUGUUGAAGUAAUUUCCAGGCUUGGAAGUUAAAAAGUUGCCUACUACCCACAAAUGAGACUGCAUGCAGACUAGUUGGAACGGGCUGAGUUACACUUCCCAGACCAUACAGUGUCCUCUCCCUAACCUGGGCAGGGGCAAAUCAAAGCUUGGGUGGAAGAACAGGGUUGAAGCUUGUAUCGAAUGUUGUUUUCCAACUAAAUAAAAGCUCCGCAGCCUCA